rnacentral:rRNA from 1 species
GUCUACUUGAAGGUAUAAGUAGUCUGGCCUGCUCACUGAUAAAAUUAUUUAAGGGCCGCGGUAUAUUGACCGUGCAAAGGUAGCAUAAUCAUUAGAGGUUUAAUUGGAAUCUGGUAUGAAUGGUUGAACAAAGGAAAGACUGUCUUUAUAAUAAAAGUUGAAGUUUACAUUUAAGUGAAAAGGCUUAAAUAUAUCAAGGGGACGAUAAGACCCUAUAAAGCUUUAUAAAUAAUUUAAAUUUAGUUAAGUUAAGUAAUAAAAAUUAGGUUUAAUUAUUUUAUUUUGUUGGGGUGAUGUGAGCAUAAUUUUAGUUAACUGCUUAAAAAGAAUUCUGUAUAAGAGAGUUAAAAUAGUAUGAUCCUUAAUAGAGAUUAAAAGACUAAGUUACUUUAGGGGUAACAGCGUUAUUUCUUUUGAGAGUUCAUAUCGAAAAAGAAGAUUGCGACCUCGAUGUUGAAUUAAAAUUUCUAUAUAAUGCAGCCGUUAUAAAAGAGGGUCUGUUCGACCUUUAAAUUUUU